UGUAUCUCUCAAAGGGGGCUUCUCUUUUUGGUUUCCUACAUCCCUCACAGCAGGGCAUGAUGCAGGUCAGCCACACAGCAGGAGUCAUGGAGCUAGCAGCCAUUCAAAGUCUUGCUCAGGGACACUUCAGCUGCAGCAGCACCUGGGCUACUAUGGAGCAUGAGCUUUGGUUGUCCAGCCUUGGGAUGUUUCUCUUUUUGCUGUAUCAUCCUCCUAUAGUGUUAGGAUGUCUGAGAUGGUCUCACGACGAAGGUGAGCUGACUUAUAUAUGAAGCAAUACAACUUCUAGCUUUAGACUGUGAGUCAAAUCAAGAUCAAAUCAACAGAAUAAUCGUCAAUCAAGUGCAAUUUCUUUACCAUGUUGUCAUUGUGGUUAAAGCUUAAAGGGAUAUUAAGGCAUAGAAUUAAUUUAGGGUCAAACACUGAGUUAGACACCCCCUCAAGAGAUAUAAGAGAUACCAAUUUUAGUAACGACCGCACCAUAGCAAUACACAGCGGUCUCAUUUAUUUAUCAUUUCCUUGAAGUAAUAAUCAUCAUAUUAAUCAUUUUGCACUGCAGAUGCGGUAGUUCCUCUGCCUUAGCAUCUUGGUCUGAUUGCAUAUCCAUGAAGAAAUGAUCAUAAAUGUUCUUUCUUGAGCUGCGUCACCCCGCUGUAGCCCAUAAUAGACUGGCCAGAGGUCUCGCUAUAAACCAGCGGCUACUGGAAGAGAGUCGGUGAUUCCGUUUAAAAGGUGGGGUAGGCAGGAUCGAGGAAGUGCCAGUUUUUGGGAGGAAUCUUGAAUGUUAACUCUACCCCUCCAAAUUAGCUUUCCCCUUAGCUCCUCCUCUCCCCUCCCUCUCUGCUCCAGCAAGCCCCGCCCACAAAUAGACGCUCCUGCUCGCUCGUAUCGUUUCAAUUACAUUCAGAUAUAAUGCAGAUAAAUACUUCAGAUGAUUACAAAUGGAGCCCAGUUAACAUGAAAGUAAAAAGCAUUGGUGCUACUGUAGAUGCCAACAGACUACCAGCAAACCCAAUGUUUGCAGGACUUCUACAACUAGGAUAAAGUGACAUACUCCAGGACCCGAGGUAAACAGUUUAGCGGCGCUACAACACGCAGCAGGUCCCGUUUGACAAGAAACACUUCUGUUACAGAUACUUGUAGCAGCAUGCUAACAGGCUACCUUCGACCACAAUGCUUUCAGCUCCUCUGCGACUAAAACAUGACUCACUACAGGUAAAUUAAACUUAGCGGCUUACCUGUCCAGCAGAAAGGCACAGGGUGCGUAAGAUCCGGAAGCGUCCCCCAUCAUUUAUGCUCCGGUUUUUCGCGCUUGUCCGCUCUACCUCCUUUUUAAGCACCCGUUAUUCCCCCAGAGUCUCCGGUAUGUACUUUGUUUUCUUGCUUGUGUCGGCAGUUGUUGCCAAAGGAGGAUUCAGACAAUUUUCUGUACUUUCUGGUUGGUUUCUACUGUCUGAUAUUGUAGCAGGCUAACUUUGUUUGGGCUCGUGCACGUUAUUCGAGUGCGUGGAGCGUGCUUCACCACACGAGGGAGCAGCGUCUGCAUUAUAACCAAUCAGCACUAAUGAGCAGCAUCUGCCUCACAACCAAUCAGGUCGGGGAGGUUGAGAAUGGCUUUGUUUACAGGAAGAAUAAGCGGACUGCUUAAAAAUUUUAAAACGUUGACUACACAGACAUAAGAGAACACAGCGAUAUCGUUAUAUUCCCAAAUAUCAUCAAUAACUAAUAGCUAUUGACUGAUACUAAAAGCUUUUUUGUAUAUACACCACAAAAAAGAUGCUUCUUUAACGGAUUCCUGUCUACCCCACAUUUAACUUAAAGCUCCAGUGAGGACUUUUUGAUAGGUGAUGAAAAAGACUGAAAUAAACAGUGAUGCGUCACAAGAUGUACAGUCCCUGACAAAAGUCUUGUCGCUUGGGUACAAGUUGACCAUAAGUGCCCCUCAAAUAUAUGUGCAAUACAUUUUUUUUUUACAAGAAAUGUCUAAUUUCAAUCCCAACAGUGUUUGAAAUAAUGUCUUGGUGCCAAAUGAAACUGCUGAAAAGCAUUCUAAUGUUCACAGCUUGGUAAAGUCCACUAAGUCAGUUUUUGCACAGACAAAAGUCUUGUCGCCUUGUCAUAUGAUGCACCCAAUCCAAGAUUACAGCCUCACCUGUGAUCAGUUAUUGACCAAUCAAUUAGUGGGUGUAUAGAAAGAACCACAGCACACCAGACCUUCACAUCAACUGCAACUUAACCUCUGACAACAUGCCUAAGAUUCACCCUGAGACCAAAGCUUUGAUCAUCAAGAGGCUGAAGACCAGAUCCACUGCUGAGGUGGCUGACACCUUCAAUGUGUCUCAGCGUCAAGUACAAAGGAUAAGAAAAAGAUUUGAAGAGACUGGAGAUGUUUAUGACAAGCCCAGGCCCAGCAGACCCCGAAAGACAACUGCUCGGGAGGACCAUUUGUUGGCUUGAAAAUCCAAGGCCAGCCCCUUUUCCACUGCAGCAGAGCUCCACCAGGUCUGGUCACCUCAAGUCCCUGUGUCAACCAGAACAGUUUGUCGAAUUCUGUCUCGGCAUGGCCUCCAUGGUCGAAUCAGUGCCCAGAAACCAGCACUAAACAAAAAGAAAUUAAAAAAACUUGUGGCAUUUGCCAAGGCCCACAGCCUGCUAAAAGGAUGGACGCUGGAAAAGUGUCAGAAGGUGGAUUUUUCUGAUGAAUCUUCGGUUGAAUUACAUCACAACCGCUGCAAAUAUUGCAGGAGACCUACUGGAGUCUGCAUGGAUCCGAGAUUCACCCAGAAAACAAUUAAGUUUGGUGGUGGAAAAAUCAUGGUCUGGGGUUGCAUCCAGCAUGGAGGUGUGCGAGAGAUUUGCAGGGUGAAAGGCAAUAUCAAUAGCCUAAAAUAUCAAGAAGUAUUAGCUACCUCUUACAUUCCCAACCAUAAAAGGGGUCAAAUUUUGCAGCAGGAUGGUGCUCCAUCGCAUACUUAGAUCUCUACAGCAAAGUUCCUCAAGGCGGAGAAGAUCAAGGUGCUCCAGGACUGGCCAGCCCAGUCACCAGACAUGAACAUCAUCGAGCAUGUCUGGGGUAAAAUGAAAGAGGAAGCAUGGAAGACGAAACCAAAGAAUCUUGAUGAACUCUGGGAGGCAUGUAAGACUGCGUUCUUUGCUAUUUCUGAUGACUUCAUCAAUAAAUUGUAUGAAUCGUUGCUGAACUGCAUGGAUGCAGUUCUUCAGGCUCAUGGAAGUCAUACAAGAUAUUAAAUAUGGAUCUCACAGCACCACUACUUGAUUCACUGAUGUUGUGCAACAUAUUUUGUAUUUGAAGUAAAUUAUUUGUUCAAUUUUCACAUUACUCUAUGUAGGCGACAAAACUUUUGUCUUGCCAAAAUCUGACUUUUCUGUGUUCAUUAAAUGAUCAAUCUUUCUUCGGUGAAGGAAAUUUAUUUUAGAUUUUAAAUAUAAUUUGGGAGGGUUUUAGCUUUCAUAUGAGCCAUUUCUAAAACCAAUGGAUUAAUGACAAGUCAGGUUAUAAGCUGUUGUUUCUACAAAAUGGAUAAGUGACAAGACUUUUGUCAGGCACUGUAGUUCCCCCAAUGCAUUUUUGCAGUUUAACUUCUGGGUUAAAGCCUGGUGCACAAACUGUGGGGAACUGUGGAGCAUGUGCGUAACUCUCUAAGCUGGUCUGACACUUGGAGUUUUAACAAGCUAGCAAAAAUGUUGUAUUUCCAGAUUACCAAAUAUAUUUAAAAAAAAGGAUUAAAAAAGGACCGCCAGAUGUUUAAAACAAACAGACACACUUAAAUUAAAUGUGAUCUUUGUUAGCAUUUUAUUCAGAUUACAUUAAGUGAAAAAAAUAAGUGCCUGUACUCUCCUCACUCACUUUUUUGCAUGUGUUUCAAGCAAUCAGCAUCAGUAAAUCUUUAAAAUUGUAUGCUGCUCUUAAUAGAAUAUAUCAGAUUAAUGCUGAUUUUGACACCGUACAUCUAUUGAAAUGUCUCCUGCAGUGAGUCACACAAACAAAGAAACUCUACAUCUCUGCGUCACCAUGCGCCUAUGCAAAUUUCCAUCAGGCUUUGGUGACUGUUGGCCUAUGCAGUGUCUUUGUUGUGCGGUGCAAAGGAGUCAUCAGGCCUUCUUUCAAGGACUCUGUUGGAGAGGAAAUAAAAAAGCAAGUUCACUUCCAUCACACAACAGAGACAGAUCCAAAUAGAAGAGGGAAGUGGCUGUAUAACACAUCAAGGAAUACAGGCAGAUAAGGAGUAAGUUAUAGAUGUCGUGAAAGUUUCAAAUAGUAAAUCACGCCACAAGGUAAAUUAAUUCAGACCUGUGUCAUUACCCAGCUCUGCUUUGGUUCAUGUCUUUGUGUCCUUUUCAAACCGGGUCGACAACACUGUCAUCAUCUUUAAGUCUAGAUUUUCUUUGUUAAACCAACACUGUUAAAUCUCGCACGUUGGCAUUAGUUUGACUCACCGGCAAAAAUAGACUAAUGCUGUGAGUGUCAUAUAAUGCCUGUGAAAGGACAUUGUGUCAUUAUGAACUGGUGAAAGAAACUGCAGUCGACAGGAAAGGGCACAGGCAGCCGGUGAGACGUCCUGCUAUGGCAAGGAGAAGUGGCAAUACUUAACAAGUAUGUGUUUUUUCAAAGAUUGCAUUUGUAACCAGGGUGUGAAAUUUUUUAAACAAAAGAAAUAAAUGCAGUUUUCUAUUUUUAGGAGUAGAUUCAGGCUUAAAGAAGUCAACCCUUGCCGACUGAAUUUCUUUGUAUGCGCUAGUAUGGUAGUAAUAUGUGAUACGCGUUAAGAUGUGCCUCUCAGGGACUGGAAAUAUCAACUUAAUCCCAGAUAUGAUGUUGCAUGUCAGUCUUUAAAUAUAUGAAGGUUGUUAUUAAUCCAAAAUUAUAUCCAGGAUUGGGGACUUCCAGACUAGUACACCAAAAGAGUAUGUUGUGAUCUUUUUUUUACUUCCCGUUUUCUUCUGAUUCAGCUUAAAUUUCUUCCAUAUGUUGGUAUCAGCCCAAAAAAGCAGUUGACUUGAUGUUGAGAGCUGAAGAUUUGACGGGAUACGUUCCCAAAAACUUAUGUAUAAUACAGUGGGAGCACCUCAAACAAAAGCAACCACUUUCUACCUCCCUCUUCCUUCCUGUUACUCAUCUUUGUCACUAACAAACCUGCUAAUCCUUUGACCUGUGCUGAGCUACGUCAGUCGCUGUGCUGCAGGAAUCCAAGGUAUUCUCCACGGUACCAGCUGGUGCACCACUUGUGCCUGUUUGAUCCUUUGGCAGACUCCCCGUCCUGUUUAGAGUGUAUUUUUAGGAUAUUAGAAAAAUGUGAAAGUGAUGUUGCCCACGGUAAUGUGGGGUAGAUGUGUCAUCUUGCUUCUGCUAGUUGUCAUGUCAGUUCUCAUUAGUUUAAGGAAAGAUGUUUGUAGAGUCAAACCCAUGCUUUCGGGGUCAAGGAAGAAUCUUGCCCGGUCAAACUGUGCUGUUUAGCCGUGUGUGGCUUAAUCCCGGUAACACCAUAGUGGCUGGCAAAUAUCAAGAAAUUAAAAGAUGGGUUAUUUUUUCCCAAAUCCUGACAAAGGUUUUUUGUGUAGAGGUUUUCUGAGCUGAUUAGGAACUAUACCCACAUUUACGAUAUUACAUGUCAUGAACUAUUUAAUGAACACCAUCUGCAGUGCUGCUUCUGAUUUAGCUUUUUCUUACCAGAUGCGUGAUCAGUACUUAUUUCAUUGUUGCCGUGUGAACCACAGCAGCUGAGAACUUGUCAUGAACUUUAAGGAAAACCAGUCAUUGACUUCUUUUGUUGCUGAUACCAACCAAAUGUAAAAUUGAAAAAAAAAAAAAAAAAAAAACUCACAAAGAAGACUUGAGUGAGCCACUCACUGUUAAGCCUCUCCAUGGCCAACAAGGCUGGAAGGCUUGGCGGUACCAUUUGCAUGUGAGUUAACUCAGAUUAGUUCAUCCAGCCAUGGGAGCCAGCCCCUCUUCAUUUUGACGCUAAACCAUGCUACAUAAUCAUAAAUGUUCUUCCUUGAGCUGCGUCACCCCGCAGCAGUCUGUAAUGGACUGGCCUGAGGUCUCACUACAAACAAGCGGCUGCUGGAAGAGAGUGGGUGAGUUGUGUUUAGUCUCUUUGCUAAAGAAAUUAGGCAAAGUUAGAAAGAUGUUUGGUGGCUAGUACUAUGGCUGGGACCCUAUAUGUACUGUUGAUGAAGUUAGGUGCUGUUCUGAGCAUUAUUUGUGCUGUGUAUCGCUAUCCUGCGGUCAUUUCUAAAGUUGGUAUAACUAGAGAAGCAAGCAGUUGGCAACAUUCAUCUCUCGAGGGGGUGUCUAACUCAGCGUUACUGUAUGUUUGAACUUAAAUUAAUUUUACGCCGUAAUAUCCCUUUAAGUUUCUCCUCUAUGUAAACGGCUCAGUCAGACUGGAAAUGGCCUAAGACUUCCAUACAUGCUCCAGAGUUUGCACGCUAUGCUUUGACACGGAAUACAUAGAGCAUAAAUACGUGGCUUAUGAGCAGUGCCAAUAUUUUCUUUAUCUGUCUAUAUCUGGCUAAACUGCACUAGAAAUUUUGAAGCCUAGAAAGUAUUCCUUGAUAAAAAUUAGUAUUCUAGUUAAGUGAAGAGGAUUGGUUAGAUGCUGCAAACCUGCCUGGGUGAAAAGAUUAUUAUAUUGUCUUUGGAGGUGAGAUUAGGAAGGCCAUAUGCAAAUGUGGUGCAUCAAGAAAAGAUCAAAUAAUUUCAUUGGAGAUGGAGUUAUCAAAAUAAAAAUCAUUUCGGUUUUGAAAUCCUUUUGUGUGAAUAACCUUGAAACCUGACCAGAUGUUUUUGUAUUUGCACAAGACUUAAAUUUUCAUGUUUACUGUUCGAUAGCAGCAGCUAUUAUUAAAUACAAUGACUCUGAUCUUGAUUGAAACAUGUCCCUGACACGCUUGUCAGCCUGUUUUUUUCACUCUGCUAAUUUUAUACAGUAUUGAAGAAUACUUGACACUCUUUUGUAUUCGCUUUGCAAGAUUUCAACAACAAAGAUUGAUAGCGACGCGUGUCACUGUCUUUUUCAGCUCUCUUUUUCACUACCUCCUUCACAGUGUUUCUCUCUUUGUCUUCCUCUCCUCCUCUGAGCCCUACUCUUCCUCGCUGCUUUGGAAUUCUUCAUGUGCUCCCGCUGUGGUAUUGUGGCACCUCAUUCACGUUACCUGGUGUCACAGUCUUGACUUCCCUUUCGCUUUGUUAAUCGGCAGUAAACAACAUGGCUGUCUGGGGACUCGGCAUGGCGCGGGGACAUAUUUUUACCUCGGCAAAAAAAAAAAAAAAAAAAGGAAAGAAGGAGAAAAAACAAAAACACAUGAUUAAAGUUGAUGCCUUUCACACUCCACACUGUGCACAAUGAUAAAAGGUACUCAGAUAUCCAAGUGACAGGUCAAAGCAAUGCACACAGAUAAUUGAUGCUGCCUCAGAAUCUCACCGUGGUAUCAGAAACACUUGGCAGUUUCACACGGUUAGCAUGCCUCUUUAUUCUCCUGGGUGUUACACAGAAUUCAUCUAAUCUAGCACUUCUAGUCAAGCGAUCACUUCCAUUUAGUACCCGCCUUAAAACAACAACAGAGUUCUGCUUUGUGUUAAUUACCAGUUCACAAUGUCAGGUCAGGCAACCUUUUAGUUCAGUAAAUAUUUUGUUUUGCUCAAGGCAGGGUGUGCUCUCUAAGUCAGCCCUCAUUUUCAGGCCUCAUUUGAAAAAAAGUGGUGUUUCAUGAGUCGGAUAUUUUUUGUCUUGAUUUAAGGUCAAUUGAAGGUGUGCAGAUGGUAGAAAUCAUUUUAAAAAAACAUGCUACACGGAUCAACUGAGGGGAAAAAGCUUUUUGUAGAAAAUUCUAGGUCUGACUGUCUAAUUAUAGAAAAGAAAGGAUCAUCCAACACAAAUAAGGAAGAGAAACAACAAAUUCAUUGUUGAAAUGAGCCUUUAACAUACUAUAGAAAAAUGAUUAUAUAAACCCUGUCAAAUAUGCUCAGUGUGUUGCAUAGAAAUAUGUUUUUAUGCAGGAUUAAAAACACGUUUCUAACCAAGUCAACAAAACUCUAAUAGUUAACAAAAUCUCACAAAUCACAGACAAUCAUAAACCGUAAUCACUAUAUAAAUAUUUCUCCUGCAAGCAAACCCUGCAGCACAUCCUUCCAUGAGGCUGACUAACUGUGUAUAUGUGUGUGUGUGUCUGUGUGUGUGUGUUUUGAGAGCCCUUUCAGCUGAUUAAAUAUGUGAAUAUUUAAAAAUGACAAUUCUCAGCACAGCUGCAGAUCGUCGGCAGGUCUGUUCCUCAGGGAACCCGCCAAGCUGUUCCCUCUGCAUUCAGCAUCAUGCGCCGCACUGCACGAGGAGGCUCCAGCGCCAUUGGAGGAGACUCCAUGUCAUUUGUAGGAUCUGAUAUUCCUCCCGUUAAAUACAGAGCACUCGGCAUGUUCCACGUACGAAAAAAGACUGAUCCCAGAGGGCUGUGGAGUGUUUGGCUUUUAAUUAGCUUCUCCUUCCUUCUUCCGGCUCGACCAUUUGCCACUGUUUGAUUUCGGUGAUCGUGGUGAAGCGGCCUUGGCUCGCACUGCUGUGAUCAUCUGUAGAGGAUGGCAAACUGGUGACACGCUUAGUCUACAUGCAAACAUUUAUGUAGCUCUAAGGAGAUCUCUCGGAGUAGGUUGCAAGAGUUAAAAGGAAAGGAAAGGAGCUCUUUUGCCUUUAUUUUUCCUCAGCCUUUGAUGAUAUGAGGCAUCGUGCCAGGCCUACCUUUGCUGUCUCCUAUUAUUACGAGUGGAAAAGAUUUGGACCUGGCCCCAAGCACUUCAUUUGUAUCUCCAAAGACAGGAAGCAGACAGAUGUCAUUUACAUUACAACAAAGUCGACCUGGAUGUUUUCCUGGUGGAAGAUGGCAUGGAGAAAGGCUAAACAUGUCAGAGAACACAUUUUUCACUUCUGAGCACUGACUUUACGCUAACAGAUAUGUAAACAACAUAUGUAGACAUAAUGAUGUAGGGGAGACCGGGGCUUGUUGUUACACUUUUUACACAAUCGUGUAUUUCUUGGAAUCAAUAUGUCAUAUAUAAACAAAGUGUGUACCAGAUAAAAGACCAAAAUCUCAGGUACAUAUUUCAUAUUCAUGUCAUUUUCAUAUCUUGUGUCAGUGCAGAGUUAUAAGCAAUCAAAUAGAGAGUGUGAACAUGUGACAUGUUGCCCCACCAUCAGGUAAGUUGUCUCACUACAUGGGGAAAGAUCUCACAGUGGAUUUUGCAGCUAAUAAAACAAGGACAAAAUUAUUGUUGAUCUCACUGUUUUAAAUGAAAGUGAACAUCAAAGUCAGACACAGAAAAUGUUUAUCAUUGAGCUGGAAAAAGUCAUUGAACAAACGUUAACAUAAAAUAUUAUGCAACAUGCUCUGGAGUUUGGAGAGCUGUCUUCUUGCUUUCUCCUCUCCUUAAACCACUCUUUUUUUCUGUAAAAAUUAAAGUCAAAAUUUCAUAAUGACAACUGCUGAUAAACAGAAACUAUAUGUUAAUUUUAAUCCCUUUUAAACAUGUGACAACAAACCCCAAAAUGGCUGAGGCAUGUUGCCUCAAACUACCAUGUUUGCUAAUUCUAGCUCUAGCUUACAGUUAGCUUAAAACAGAACAAUGACUGAGGUAUGACAGGGUGUCUUAAUCUCUCCUCUAACAAGUCCACAUAUUUCACUGCUAGGAUUCUUAUCUGGAAGAAGCUUAUUUUAAAAUAUAUAAAGUUGAAUUUUUUACUUGGGUUGUGUGAAAUAGCUAAUUGGCACUCAUCUCAGCUCACAAUGUGCUCUUCUCUUCUCAGACAGGACACGACCCCUGAUCAUGUUAAGGAAGAAAACUAGUAUUCAACUUUUUAGUUGCACCCUCUGGUGGCAAAGAUAAUUGCAAUGUGACAACUUACCCAUGUGACAACAAGCCCCGGUCUCCCCUACAGAAACAAACUGAGUGCAUGGUGGAGAGAUUACAACUUUGUACACUAAAAUUAAAGAUUUGGAUUAUACUUAGAAAAACCAAAGAAUACCCCAAGUAAAUUACUUGAUCCCUUUUUCUUUAUUGUAUGGGCUCUGUUCAUCAUAACCUUCCUUCUUCUCAAACUGGGUGGACUAACACAAAUGAGGUUGUAUUGUCUGAGUUAGGAUAAGCUCAUUCAUUCAACAGUAUUAAGGCAUAAUGUGUAAUCUGCGGUUAGACGGAGUAGUGUUAAAUUCACAGAGCUAAAUUUGAGAUGUUUUAGCUGCUGAGGCUGUGUCCAAAUCUAACUCAAAUCAAGCAGCUCCCAAAACUGCGUCAAAAUCUGAGGAAAUAUUCACCACUGCGAUCACUGAAUGGUGGCUCUAUAACCCGUUUUGCCUGAUCACUGUGCUCAUUCCCACAGUGGGAGCUUAUAGUUCAUGUUGUGAGUGGACCUCUCAUCCUACAGUGCAGUGGAGCCCAGCUUCAGACUUCUCAGCUCACACACACUCACCCACUCGCCCACGCAUCCUCAGGAGCCCAAACCCCCCACUCAUCAGCCCCUCUACUUGUGCCAGGCGUGCCCCUGUAUCGCCUCGCUUACUCUCCACCAGUGUGUAUCUCAGAGCUCUGCCAACCCCCUACAUCACACUUCAAACACACACACAUACACACUCACACACACACAGCACGCACACAAGGGAGACAAAAGAGAGGAAAGAGGUCAGUGGGUCUCUUCAAACACAAAGAACCUCUGAAGGAGCUCUGACUGGUUUACACUGCACUCAAUUACCUGUAUUUGAUUAUUGCUGUGGCAGUGUUCGAAGAAACUGUAGCCUCACACUCUUUUCUUUCUCCUCUUUAUUUAGCUUCCUGCAUAGCACAAUCCAUAUGAGUCCAUAUGAAGCCGGAUUCGGUUCUUAUUUUUCC